rnacentral:rRNA from 1 species
AACGAACGCUGGCGGCAGGCUUAACACAUGCAAGUCGAGCGCCCCGCAAGGGGAGCGGCAGACGGGUGAGUAACGCGUGGGAAUCUACCCAUCUCUACGGAAUAACGCAUGGAAACGUGUGCUAAUACCGUAUACGUCCUUCGGGAGAAAGAUUUAUCGGAGAUGGAUGAGCCCGCGUUGGAUUAGCUAGUUGGUGGGGUAAAGGCCUACCAAGGCGACGAUCCAUAGCUGGACUGAGAGGAUGAUCAGCCACACUGGGACUGAGACACGGCCCAGACUCCUACGGGAGGCAGCAGUGGGGAAUAUUGGACAAUGGGCGCAAGCCUGAUCCAGCCAUGCCGCGUGAGUGUUGAAGGCCCUAGGGUUGUAAAGCUCUUUCACCGGUGAAGAUAAUGACGGUAACCGGAGAAGAAGCCCCGGCUAACUUCGUGCCAGCAGCCGCAGUAACAC